GUUGACUCUGCACCGCAGUUUAAGAAACUGCCGCUGUCGCAUCGUAGAAGACUGCUACUUCGCAAAGAGUCUGGUGGACUCAGUGUCUAAUGGUGUGGUAUUUCAGAUCAUUUGCUUUUCAGCCUAACUUCAGAACAUUAUAUCUUCUCAACCCACACAUCCUGGAGAUGAAAAUACCCUGAAUGGCAGUUCUUCAACAAAUAUAAAAAUAUGUAUUAUGGGCUUCAAAUUAAAGAAACUGUGCAUCCAGUGUGUAUACAGGUCAAAUUGUUGUUGACCACAUGUGCGACUAUAAAAGUUACUCACCCAGCUCUGUACCCCAGAUUUUGGAUCAAAGUCUGUGGGUAGUGUCUUAAAUAGUGAUCAAAUCCUAGGGUUAAUUGGUUUGUUCAUAAAUCACUUUUUAAAAUAAUGACCACUCAGCAAUGUCACAGCUAAAUGAUUAAAUUAAACCUUUGUUUUUUCCAUUAAUUUGUUUUGCACAAUAACCUGACUGUCAACAAGAGAAACAUUAAACAAACUUUAGCUUACAAUAAGAUACAUAUUCUAUAAUCAAUCAAUAAUAAUGUUUAGAAUAAUCAACUAUUCAUCAAUCAAUAUAUCUAUUGUUGAGUUGGAAGCCCAGGUAUAAAAGAGGUAAGUGUUCUCUUUGCGCUUGUUUGGCACAUUUGAUAUCUGCAUCCAGAUGGUUGUGGUUUGUACUCCAAGAAUAAUGGAUGGGAAGGGUCAGCACCUUGCAAGUGAAACCCAAACUCAUGAGAGGCUUGUCAGCUGUAAACAACUACAGAUUAUAUUUGGCAAAGGGAACUCUCCAAUGAGUAUGUCAUAAGGACUUCCAGUCCACAAUGUUAACCUUAAUAUUUACUACCAUAUGACCUAUCAGUAUAUAGCAAUAAAUGAGAAAAACAGAUUAUUUAAUAUUAUUUCUUCUAUAUGAAACAUUAAUGUUUCAAGGCCCUCAGCAAGUCACAAAAAUAAGUAUGUUUUUGCCUGAUUUGGUCACUAAGAUAAGAAAUGGCCAUUUUAUUUCUCACAAUAAACACCUAUACUUUCCCACCUCUCAUGAAUUAUAGGAAUUUUACCCUGGAGUCAUAUGUAUUGUAAUAUCCAAAAACACUUGUUUAAUAUUACCACAAUGUAAAACAAUGAUCUUUAUUGUUUAUAAUCUAGAUUUCCAGAUUGUGUGUAUGUGUAUAUAGUGCAGUUCAUAAGUAUUUGGACAGUAACUCAAUCUUUGUUAUUUUGGCUCUGUAUUCCAGCACAUUUGGAUUAGAAAUGAAAUGGUGAAUAUGAGGUGCAUGUGAAAAUGCAGUCUGUCAAAUUUAAUUUGAGUGUGUUUACAUCCAUAUUGGGUGAACCUUGUAGGAAUUACUGCCAGACCAUGCAUAAUUCCACCCUAAAAUGGGUACCUUAAAACCUACAUUAAAUUCCUCAAAAAGUG